UACGUAGGGUGCGAGCGUUGUCCGGAAUUACUGGGCGUAAAGGGUUCGUAGGUGGCCAACUAAGUCAGACGUGAAAUCCCUCAGCUUAACUGGGGAACUGCGUCUGAGACUGGAUGGCUUGAGUGCAGGAGAGGAACGCGGAAUUCCAGGUGUAGCGGUGAAAUGCGUAGAUAUCUGGAGGAACACCGGUGGCGAAGGCGGCGUUCUGGACUGCUACUGACACUGAGGAACGAAAGCCAGGGGAGCAAACGGG
rnacentral:rRNA from 1 species